rnacentral:lncRNA from 1 species
CUUGGAUUCUGUACGAUCACGCACGUGUCCUUCCCUUUCUCCUAGGCCUUAAUCCAGGUGUUCUCUCUUUAUAUGUUCCAUUUUCCUUUCAUUCAUGUUUGCUCAAAGCCCAAAUCGUCUAGGCCGAAAACAACUCCAGCUAAACGCUGUCGUUUGUAUUAUUAACUCAAAACUUGUACUCCGGUGAACUCACCGGAAACAUUGAAUUAUUAUGUCCGGCGCCGAAUAGUUGGUGAGGUGAAGAGACUAUCUCCAGCAAUGGAAACGGAGGUUCAUCAACCAAAUUUCACCUACCUGGGACGAACAUUUAGCGGUCUCAAUAUUACUGAAUCCUCCUCAGCUUUCAGUGACUGCAACAGCGAUAGAUCCGGCGAGUUCCCGACGGCGUCUUCUCAAAGCCGGCGACUAUUAAUAGCAUGCGCGUCGGAGAACUCAGAUGAAUUAAUCCAGCAACUCGUCUCUGAUCUCGAGUCAAACUCAAUCGACGUGCAAAAGCAAGCGGCAAUGGAGCUUAGACUCUUAGCGAAGAACAAAUCGGAAAAUCGUCUCAAAAUCGCUCGAGCUGGAGCGAUUAAGCCUUUGAUUUCUCUUAUCUCUUCCACUGAUCUUCACCUUCAAGAGUACGGCGUUACCGCGAUUCUCAAUUUAUCUCUCUGUGAUGAAAAUAAGGAGCUCAUCGCAGCAUCAGGAGCGAUCAAACCGUUAGUUCGAGCUCUGAAAAUCGGCAAUUCAACCGCGAAGGAGAAUUCCGCUUGCGCUCUGCUCCGUUUGUCGCAAAUCGAAGAGAACAAAAUCGCAAUCGGACGGUCGGGUGCAAUACCCCCGUUAGUGAACCUUCUAGAAGCCGGCAAUUUCCGCGGGAAGAAGGACGCCUCAACUGCACUGUACUCCUUAUGCUCCGUGAAGGAGAACAAGGUCAGAGCGGUACAAGCUGGAGUAAUGAAGCCGUUAGUGGAAUCAAUGGCGGAUUUCAGUUCAAACAUGGUGGAUAAAUCGGCGUUCGUGGUGAGCGUUUUGAUAUCGUUGACAGAGGCGAGGGCGGCUGUGGUGGAGGAAGGUGGAAUUCCGGUGUUGGUGGAGAUCGUGGAGGUGGGGACACAUCGACAGAAGGAGAUUGCGGUGGCGAUAUUGUUGCAGCUGUGUGAGGAUAGCGUGACUUACCGUACUAUGGUGGCACGCGAAGGCGCUAUUCCCCCAUUGGUUGCUUUGUCCCAAUCUGGUACAAGUCGCGCCAAACAAAAGGUAAAAAAUGAAAAAUAUCUUUUUUUCACAAGGCAGAUUUAAUUAAGUAUGUAACCGCCGCCAUGAAAUGUGAAGUAUGUAAUUAAUUAAUGAGUUAGGCUAAUUAAUUAAGUAGGGUUAGCACUGAGCUUAGGUGUAAAGAUAGACUACGUAAGUAUUAUGGUGAAUUUGGUGAUGUGAAUUGGUUAUGACAACUAUUUAUUGUUAGGUGGAUGCACUAGUCGUUCUCCAAUAUGUCUGCCUCCUGUGGCCUCUAGCAGGUUAGGGAAAAAUACUAAGAGCUGAAGUUCAAUUAAAUUGGUGUCUUUGUCCUUUUCAAUAUGUAAAUAUGACAGUGUUAGUAAAUUAUUUGAACAAUUUAAAUAGGUUUCUCUUCAUCUUUUCGUACUUUAUACUUACAAUUUGUCAUUGACCCCGAAAAAAGUAAGCUGGAUCGACGAGUAUAUAAAAUAUUUGAAUUUGUCAGUGUUUGAGUAUUAUUAAGCAGCAGUAUUUGAUGAGUAUCUUGUGUUUUGGUCGUAUUAUGAAUGGACAGGCGGAGACACUGAUUGCGCUUCUACGACAGCCAAGAUCCGGUAACGCCGCUGCAGCAGCAGCCAGAGCUUCUGAUGUGUCGUUUUGAUUCUCACCACAUGUUAUGUCCCUCUGUUGUUUGUUUCCUCAUUUUGUAUCAUAGCAACCCAACACUACUCAAGAGAACCAC